UACGGAGGGUGCAAGCGUUGUCCGGAAUCACUGGGCGUAAAGGGCGCGUAGGCGGCCGCCUAAGUCAGACGUGAAAUCCCUCGGCUCAACCGGGGAACUGCGUCUGAUACUGGGUGGCUUGAAUUCGGGAGAGGGAUGCGGAAUUCCAGGUGUAGCGGUGAAAUGCGUAGAUAUCUGGAGGAACACCGGUGGCGAAGGCGGCAUCCUGGACCAAUACUGACGCUGAGGAGCGAAAGCCAGGGGAGCAAACGGG
rnacentral:rRNA from 1 species